AUGCAGUGCUUCGUGGUUUCUGCGAUCACCAUCCGGGGCUCGAGGUGGAAACAGAAUUGUUCUGACCCGCGCAGCUUCCAUGCCGGUUUGAAACUGCAUGAAAGGGUUAGUGUAGAGAAGCAUGGAGUCCAGGUGUUUUGGACUCCAGCUCCCACCAUUCCCAACAGCCUUAGGCCGCGGCUGAGGGGAAAAAGGAAAGGGCCUGAGGCUGUUAGGAAUGGUGGGAGCUGGAGUCCAAACACCCGGAGGGAAGGCCCAAGUUUGCCCAGGCCUGGUGUCUCUCUCUCCCUGCGGCGGAGCCACGGGCAGAAAUGCCCUUCUGUUUGGGAAAAGAAGCGGGCGGCGAGGAGCUCCUUGGGACGGGCCUCGGAGCCAGCGAGGGCGGCGGAAAAGGAAGCGGGAGGGCGCCGAGGAGAAGGAAGGAAGGAGCAGCGCCGAGGGCAGCCGGGAGGGGAGCCACACAAAGAGGCCUCCCUCCCUCCUUUUCCCUCCUCCUCUUCCUUCUCCUCCUCCUACGGCGCGGAUGGCGCCCAAACACACGAGGGGCCGGCGACCCCGCUGCCUUCCCACUGCAGCCAGAGCUUUGCGAAUAAUCAAGCCAAAGGCCUUUCCCUCGGCGAGGCGCCUUCCUCCCAACAUGAGGGGAGGGGAGGGAGAGAGAGGAAAAUGGCGCGCAGUCCCGGCGCGGAGGAGCCCCGGCCUCGUCCUCCUCCUGCUGCCCGCCCGCUCGCCUCAGCCCCGGCCCCGCUCACCUUGGGCUUCUCGUCCGCCAUGGCGAGUCCGCGGGCUGGGUUCCUCUCCGAGCUCCUUCCUCACGGCCCCACGGAAAAGAUGAGAAAAAAAAAGGGCGACCGCGGCGGCCGAAGCAGAAAGACUGGGGGAGGGGGCGGGGUGAGCGCGCACGCACUGCCGCGGGGCCGCGCCUCGGCCUCCGGGGGCGCGCACGCACGGCCCUCCCCUCCCCCGUCCGCCGCCUCCCCAUUGGGCCUCCGCCGGCGAGAGCGCGCCGCGCCGUUACAUAACUCCGAGAGGAGGCGGAGGGACGCGGGCCUGCGUGCGCGCACCCCGCGCGCCGGCCCGACGUGCGCGCACCACCCGCCGCCCGCCGCGAGCUUUGCUCUCGCUCGCGAAGAGGGCAUUGUCUUUUCAAAAUGGCCGCCGGGCCUGCGAGGCUGA
rnacentral:lncRNA from 1 species